rnacentral:rRNA from 1 species
UACGUAGGGUGCAAGCGUUAUUCGGAAUUACUGGGCGUAAAGCGUGCGCAGGCGGUUAUGCAAGACAGAUGUGAAAUCCCCGGGCUUAACCUGGGAACCGCAUUUGUGACUGCAUAGCUGGAGUACGGCAGAGGGGGAUGGAAUUCCGCGUGUAGCAGUGAAAUGCGUAGAUAUGCGGAGGAACACCGAUGGCGAAGGCAGUCCCCUGGGCAUGUACUGACGCUCAUGCACGAAAGCGUGGGGAGCAAACAGG